AAGACGGAGCGUUCCGCCCCCUUGUUCCUCCCGACCCUCCGGGACAGAGGCAGGGCUUCACCCGUCCUGGGCCUGCGGCCCGGACUGGCUCGUUACUUCGGGCCCCGGCUGGCUCGUUACCUCGGGCCGGGCGGGGCGGGCUGGGGAGGCAGGAGGAACAGACACCCCUGGUGGCUCAGUCCAUCAUGCACCCCAAAUCUGACGUGUUGAGUCAAGAUGAGCUGCGCAAAAAGCUGUACCAGACGUUUAAGGAUCGGGGUAUACUGGACACACUCAAGGUAUCAGUUUUAGGCAUAUCUGUUAUAUAACUUUUAUAAGUGUUACCUGUAAUAACCUGUAACAGUCCACGUUUUAAAUCCAUCCAGGUUUUGGGUUUUAAAAAUAGUAUGAUACAUAAAUUGUAUUGGUAAAUUACAUGUUUAUGUUCAUGUAUAACUCUAUCCUGGAACAGUAGUCUCAAGUGGUUUAGAGUUUGGGCUCUCUUAAGAGAGCAUAUUCCAAUGUAGAUUUUAUUGAGCCGACUUUAAGAUAGGAGCGGGUGACUUUAUAAAAUGAACACCUUUUAGUAAGGUUAGAUUUGUUUUAUAAGUCUGUUUUACAGGUUCCUGAAUUAGUAAGUGCUUUUGUAAUACGUUGGAAUGAAGGACAUUGACACCAUAUAGAAAACAUUCAGUGUGCUGCUUACCAUAGAAUAGUUUGGGGAAUGAGAGCUUUCUUCUUUAAAAUAGAUUGAAAGGUAUGAAUAUUUAAUUUUGGCAGCAAGUAUUUAUUAGUACCCUUUCUAUAUGAACUAACAGCAAGGAGUAGGAUUAGUUCUAACGUGUUUGCAUUACUAUAUACAUUUCAAAAGUAUAUUUUACACUUAAAAAUGAGAUAUUAAGGAAAAGUGAGCUUGAUGAUUUUCUUCUCUCUCCCCCAUUGUUUUUGUAACUUAAAAAAAACCACUUCAGACUCAUCUGAAAAAUGUGGAAAAGCAUAGAGGAGAAAAGUCAUCUCUAGUACAACCACUAAUUGGCGUAAUGUGUGUGUGUGUGUGUAUGUAUGUAUCCUUCUUAAUAUUGUGGGAAUUUUCUUAUGUCCUUAAAAGUUUCUUGAAAUCCUCAUUUUCAGCGGCACCAGGCUCAUGUUUGGAUGUAUGGGUGAUUUAGGUAGCAGUCCCCUCUUGUUGAGUAUUUAUACCCUGGUCUACACAUUCCUUCCAUUGUGGUUCUCCUUCUUUUGCCUAGGAUAGGUUAAGUGGCAUUACUUAAUCAAAGGGCAUAAGCAUUUUUAAGGCUCUUGGUGUAUGUGUUUUGUUCUAGAAAGACU
rnacentral:lncRNA from 1 species